CGAGCGCAACCCUUGUCAUUAGUUGCCAUCAUUUAGUUGGGCACUCUAAUGAGACUGCCGGUGACAAACCGGAGGAAGGUGGGGAUGACGUCAAGUCCUCAUGGCCCUUAUGGGUAGGGCUUCACACGUCAUACAAUGGUCGGUACAGAGGGUUGCCAAGCCGCGAGGUGGAGCCAAUCCCUUAAAGCCGAUCGUAGCCCGGAUCGUAGUCUGCAACUCGACUACGUGAAGUCGGAAUCGCUAGUAAUCGCAGAUCAGCAUGCUGCGGUGAAUACGUUCCCGGGUCUU
rnacentral:rRNA from 1 species